AUGCAAAAUGGUACAGCCACUCUGGAAGACAGUUUGGCGGUUUCUUACAAACCUAAGCAUGCUCUUUGCAUACAACCCAGACAUCAUACUCUUUGCUAUUUACCCAAAGGAGCUGAAAACUUAUGUCCACGCCAAAACCUGCAUGGAGAUGUUUAUAGCAGCUUUAUUCAUAAUUGCCAAAACGUGGCAGCAACCACGAUGUCCUAUACUAGGUGGGUGGAUAAAAUGUGCUCCAUUCAGACAAUGGAGUAUUAUUCUGCCCUAAAAAGAAAUGAACUAUUGUGGAAAGUAAUAGCAGAAACCUUAACUAAACUGGAGUUGGGAAGGCCUGCAGGGGGAGCUCUCACUCCCAUUACAUUGUCGACUACUCCAAACAGGAAGAGAGGGAUGUUCCCAUCUCAGACAGGAAGUACAGCUACUUUACUACUGAAGGAAGACUUCUCUCCCCACCUGCCAACAGCCCAGCCAAUGAGAAACGCCACAGCUCAGCCAAUGAGAAACACCGCAGCUCAGCCAAUGAGAAACGCCUCAGCCCAGCCAAUGAGAAAUACCGCAGCUCAGCCAAUGAGAAACACCGCAGCUCAGCCAAUGAGAAACGCCUCAGCUCAGCCAAUGAGAAAUACCGCAGCUCAGCCAAUGAGAAACACCGCAGCUCAGCCAAUGAGAAAUACCGCAGCUCAGCCAAUGAGAAAUACCGCAGCUCAGCCAAUGAAAAACGCCUCAGCUCAGCCAAUGAGAAAUGUCACAGUUCAGCCAAUGAGAAAUGCCUCAGCUCAGCCAAUGAGAAAUGCCUCAGCUCAGCCAAUGAGAAGUGCUGCAGCUCAGCCAAUGAGAAACACCACAGCUCAGCCAAUGAGUAACACUGCAGCUCAACCAAUGAGAAAUGCCUCAGCUCAGCCAAUGAGAAAUGCUGCAGCUCAGCCAAUGAGAAGCCUCAGCAGCUCAGCCAAUGAGAAACCCUUCAGCUCAACCAAUGAGAAGCAUUGCCACCCUGAACUACUACUUUCCCCCAAUGGAAACAGAACAGCCCCUCGCUCUCCCCCUUUCUCUAUAAAAGCGGCUCCCCUCCUUGUUCCCUGGAUUUGCCUAUUGUUUGCAUAG
rnacentral:lncRNA from 1 species